UCUGCCACAGGGAAUAGGCUCUCACCAGGCACCGAACACCUUGAUCCUGAACUUCCCAGCCUCCAGAACAGGAAGAAAUUAAUGUUUGUUGCUUCUAAGGCACCAGUUUCUAGUAAUUUUGCUAUAUCAGCCUGAUUGAACUGAGGCAGUACUAAAUAAGAAAAUGCAUGUAUUCCAGAAGACAGGAAAUGCCCAACGAAACUGAAUUUACUUCUUUUGAAAUCAACCAUUUACUUUGAGAAAGGAGAAAGAUAUCAUCAUACAUCAUAUAUAGGCAUACAAAGGGACAAAGCAUGGUUCAUUGGGACUGCAGCAUGGGGUCCAGGAUGCUUAGAUACCAAACUUUGAAAGGUCCUGGAAGCUGAGGGCAUCAGGAGAGCUGUGCUCAUUCUGGAGUCUUACUGAAAUUGUUUUCCUCAUUCCCUUGAAACUAGGAAGGACAUGCAACCCAUGAUAGCAGCCCCCAAGACGAAGCCUUGAAUGCAGUGUAGUAUAUUUAGGAAGUGAUCUCAGAAAACAAAAGUGAGGAAAUGAGGAAGUGGGGCAGGGAUCGGGGAGAGCUUUGGGCAACCAAUGCUCAAUCCUCUUGAAGACCCUGUGAAAUCAAGUGGAUCAUGCCCCAGAAUUUCGAUGUCAGAGGAAAGGGAUAUGGAGGCCUGGAUUCCAAGGAUCAUCCUGCAGUUGUUAAAGGCUGCCCCAGCAGCAUGAGCAGUCUUGUAUUUCUGGAUUGCACCUGUACAUUGAAACAAGCUCUCUCGUGUUGGAGGAAACUCUUGGGAAAAGGAAGAGAGUGAAGCAGGUGUUCAAAGUUGGACGCUACGAGCCUGUAGAGAAAUACCCUGUGUUCCAGGGGGUCCAAGUGGCUAGGGAGAUGGGACAGAGCUUCACCCACCUUCCUGAACUCAUCCCAUAUGAGAUAGCACAUCCCCUAGCCUGGUCUAUAGAACAUGAGCAAAAGCCAUGGGUCACUUCUGGUGAAGCUUAAAGAGACAGUUUAUGAUUUAUAUAUUCUUUCCCCUUGUCUUGGCCACAUUAGUGAUCAAAUGAUGGAGGCUCCCUCCACAUGUCCUGGAGUGAGAAGAUGUGGAGCAGAACUAGCAGCUGAUUCACAGAGGACAGAUGUACACAGAACAAUCUUGGAAACCAUAUGCUCCAGAUGCUGUAGCUACAAUAUGGAGGAUUUCUGACUUAAAGACAUUGUUAUGCUGCAGAAUGCUGCAUUCACAGUAUCAGCAAAACCCAAGAAAUAAGUAAAAGAGAAUGCAGAGGGUCUUUCAUGAAGGAUGGAAAGAAUGACCUGAAUAAUGGAGGAAAUACCAAGUUCCUGUAUGCAAGGACUUAAUUGUCAUUUUACCUCCGACCAGCUGUCAAUCAAUACAAUUCCAAUUAAAGUCCCUGGAGAAUUUUAA